rnacentral:rRNA from 1 species
UACGUAGGGGGCAAGCGUUGUCCGGAUUUAUUGGGCGUAAAGCGCUCGCAGGUGGUCCGAUGCGUCGUGCGUGAAAGACCCCGGCUCAACUGGGGGGUGUCGUGCGAUACGGUCGGACUGGAGGCCAGUAGGGGGAUGCGGAAUUCCGGGUGUAGUGGUGGAAUGCGUAGAGAUCCGGAGGAACACCGGUGGCGAAGGCGGCUUCCUGGACCGAUUACUGACGCUGAGGCGCGAAGCUAGGGAGC